AACGAACGCUGGCGGCAUGCCUAACACAUGCAAGUCGAACGAGAUCUUCGGGUCUAGUGGCGCACGGGUGCGUAACGCGUGGGAAUCUGCCCUUUGGUUCGGAAUAACAGUUGGAAACGACUGCUAAUACCGGAUGAUGACGAAAGUCCAAAGAUUUAUCGCCAGAGGAUGAGCCCGCGUAGGAUUAGCUAGUUGGUGUGGUAAAGGCGCACCAAGGCGACGAUCCUUAGCUGGUCUGAGAGGAUGAUCAGCCACACUGGGACUGAGACACGGCCCAGACUCCUACGGGAGGCAGCAGUGGGGAAUAUUGGACAAUGGGCGAAAGCCUGAUCCAGCAAUGCCGCGUGAGUGAUGAAGGCCUUAGGGUUGUAAAGCUCUUUUACCCGGGAUGAUAAUGACAGUACCGGGAGAAUAAGCUCCGGCUAACUCCGUGCCAGCAGCCGCCGUAACAC
rnacentral:rRNA from 1 species